UUACCUCAGUAACGGCGAGUGAAGCGGUAAGAGCUCAAAUUUGAAAGCUGGCUCCUUCGGGGUCCGCAUUGUAAUUUGCAGAGGAUGUUUCGGGAGCAGCCCCCAUCUAAGUGUCCUGGAACGGACCGUCAUAGAGGGUGAGAAUCCCGUAUGGGAUGGGGUGUCUGCGCCCAUGUGAAACUCCUUCGACGAGUCGAGUUGUUUGGGAAUGCAGCUCUAAAUGGGUGGUAAAUUUCAUCUAAAGCUAAAUAUUGGCCGGAGACCGAUAGCGCACAAGUAGAGUGAUCGAAAGAUGAAAAGCACUUUGAAAAGAGAGUUAAAAAGCACGUGAAAUUGUUGAAAGGGAAGCGCUUGCGAUCAGACUCGCCUUGGGGGUUCAGCCGGCAUUCGUGCCGGUGUACUUCCCCCAGGGCGGGCCAGCGUCGGUUUGGGUGGCCGGUCAAAGGCCCUUGGAAUGUAACGCCUCUCGGGGCGUCUUAUAGCCAAGGGUGCCAUGCGGCCUACCUGGACCGAGGAACGCGCUUCGGCUCGGACGCUGGCAUAAUGGUCGUAAGCGACCCGUCUUGAAACACGGACCAAGGAGUCUAACAUCUACGCGAGUGUUCGGGUGUCAAACCCGUGCGCGCAGUGAAAGCGAACGGAGGUGGGAACCCUUUGGGUGCACCAUCGACCGAUCCUGAUGUCUUCGGAUGGAUUUGAGUAAGAGCGUAGCUGUUGGGACCCGAAAG
rnacentral:rRNA from 1 species